rnacentral:rRNA from 1 species
AGAUUAAGUUAUUAAGGGCGCACUGUGGAUGCCUUGGCACUAGAAGCCGAUGAAGGACGUUACUAACGACGAUAUGCUUUGGGGAGCUGUAAGUAAGCUUUGAUCCAGAGAUUUCCGAAUGGGGAAACCCAGCAUGAGUUAUGUCAUGUUAUCGAUAUGUGAAUACAUAGCAUAUCAGAAGGCACACCCGGAGAACUGAAACAUCUUAGUACCCGGAGGAAGAGAAAGAAAAUUCGAUUCCCUUAGUAGCGGCGAGCGAAACGGGAAGAGCCCAAACCAACAAGCUUGCUUGUUGGGGUUGUAGGACACUCUAUACGGAGUUACAAAGGACGACAUUAGACGAAUCAUCUGGAAAGAUGAAUCAAAGAAGGUAAUAAUCCUGUAGUCGAAAAUGUUGUCUCUCUUGAGUGGAUCCUGAGUACGACGGAGCACGUGAAAUUCCGUCGGAAUCUGGGAGGACCAUCUCCUAAGGCUAAAUACUCUCUAGUGACCGAUAGUGAACCAGUACCGUGAGGGAAAGGUGAAAAGCACCCCGGAAGGGGAGUGAAAUAGAACCUGAAACCGUGUGCUUACAAGUAGUCAGAGCCCGUUAAUGGGUGAUGGCGUGCCUUUUGUAGAAUGAACCGGCGAGUUACGAUUUGAUGCAAGGUUAAGCAGUAAAUGUGGAGCCGUAGCGAAAGCGAGUCUGAAUAGGGCGUUUAGUAUUUGGUCGUAGACCCGAAACCAGGUGAUCUACCCUUGGUCAGGUUGAAGUUCAGGUAACACUGAAUGGAGGACCGAACCGACUUACGUUGAAAAGUGAGCGGAUGAACUGAGGGUAGCGGAGAAAUUCCAAUCGAACCUGGAGAUAGCUGGUUCUCUCCGAAAUAGCUUUAGGGCUAGCCUCAAGUGAUGAUUAUUGGAGGUAGAGCACUGUUUGGACGAGGGGCCCCUCUCGGGUUACCGAAUUCAGACAAACUCCGAAUGCCAAUUAAUUUAACUUGGGAGUCAGAACAUGGGUGAUAAGGUCCGUGUUCGAAAGGGAAACAGCCCAGACCACCAGCUAAGGUCCCAAAAUAUAUGUUAAGUGGAAAAGGAUGUGGCGUUGCCCAGACAACUAGGAUGUUGGCUUAGAAGCAGCCAUCAUUUAAAGAGUGCGUAAUAGCUCACUAGUCGAGUGACACUGCGCCGAAAAUGUACCGGGGCUAAACAUAUUACCGAAGCUGUGGAUUGUCCUUUGGACAAUGGUAGGAGAGCGUUCUAAGGGCGUUGAAGCAUGAUCGUAAGGACAUGUGGAGCGCUUAGAAGUGAGAAUGCCGGUGUGAGUAGCGAAAGACGGGUGAGAAUCCCGUCCACCGAUUGACUAAGGUUUCCAGAGGAAGGCUCGUCCGCUCUGGGUUAGUCGGGUCCUAAGCUGAGGCCGACAGGCGUAGGCGAUGGAUAACAGGUUGAUAUUCCUGUACCACCUAUAAUCGUUUUAAUCGAUGGGGGGACGCAGUAGGAUAGGCGAAGCGUGCGAUUGGAUUGCACGUCUAAGCAGUAAGGCUGAGUAUUAGGCAAAUCCGGUACUCGUUAAGGCUGAGCUGUGAUGGGGAGAAGACAUUGUGUCUUCGAGUCGUUGAUUUCACACUGCCGAGAAAAGCCUCUAGAUAGAAAAUAGGUGCCCGUACCGCAAACCGACACAGGUAGUCAAGAUGAGAAUUCUAAGGUGAGCGAGCGAACUCUCGUUAAGGAACUCGGCAAAAUGACCCCGUAACUUCGGGAGAAGGGGUGCUCUUUAGGGUUAACGCCCAGAAGAGCCGCAGUGAAUAGGCCCAAGCGACUGUUUAUCAAAAACACAGGUCUCUGCUAAACCGUAAGGUGAUGUAUAGGGGCUGACGCCUGCCCGGUGCUGGAAGGUUAAGAGGAGUGGUUAGCUUCUGCGAAGCUACGAAUCGAAGCCCCAGUAAACGGCGGCCGUAACUAUAACGGUCCUAAGGUAGCGAAAUUCCUUGUCGGGUAAGUUCCGACCCGCACGAAAGGCGUAACGAUUUGGGCACUGUCUCAACGAGAGACUCGGUGAAAUCAUAGUACCUGUGAAGAUGCAGGUUACCCGCGACAGGACGGAAAGACCCCGUGGAGCUUUACUGUAGCCUGAUAUUGAAAUUCGGCACAGCUUGUACAGGAUAGGUAGGAGCCUUUGAAACGUGAGCGCUAGCUUACGUGGAGGCGCUGGUGGGAUACUACCCUAGCUGUGUUGGCUUUCUAACCCGCACCACUUAUCGUGGUGGGAGACAGUGUCAGGCGGGCAGUUUGACUGGGGCGGUCGCCUCCUAAAAGGUAACGGAGGCGCUCAAAGGUUCCCUCAGAAUGGUUGGAAAUCAUUCAUAGAGUGUAAAGGCAUAAGGGAGCUUGACUGCGAGACCUACAAGUCGAGCAGGGUCGAAAGACGGACUUAGUGAUCCGGUGGUUCCGCAUGGAAGGGCCAUCGCUCAACGGAUAAAAGCUACCCCGGGGAUAACAGGCUUAUCUCCCCCAAGAGUUCACAUCGACGGGGAGGUUUGGCACCUCGAUGUCGGCUCAUCGCAUCCUGGGGCUGUAGUCGGUCCCAAGGGUUGGGCUGUUCGCCCAUUAAAGCGGUACGCGAGCUGGGUUCAGAACGUCGUGAGACAGUUCGGUCCCUAUCCGUCGUGGGCGUAGGAAAUUUGAGAGGAGCUGUCCUUAGUACGAGAGGACCGGGAUGGACAUACCUCUGGUGUACCAGUUGUCGUGCCAACGGCAUAGCUGGGUAGCUAUGUGUGGACGGGAUAAGUGCUGAAAGCAUCUAAGCAUGAAGCCCCCCUCAAGAUGAGAUUUCCCAACUUCGGUUAUAAGAUCCCUCAAAGAUGAUGAGGUUAAUAGGUUCGAGGUGGAAGCAUGGUGACAUGUGGAGCUGACGAAUACUAAUCGAUCGAAGACUUAAUCAAAUU